rnacentral:rRNA from 1 species
CCAAUAGCGUAUAUUAAAGUUGUUGCAGUUAAAAAGCUCGUAGUUGAAUUUCGGAAUCUGUCCAUCGGUCGGGCUUCACUGUCCGUACUGGUGUGGUGGGUUCUUACCUUCUGAAUAACCAGCAUGCCAUUAAUUUGGUGCGUUGGGGAAGCAGGACUAUUACCUUGAAAAAAUUAGAGUGCUCAAAGCAGGCCAGUGCCUGAAUACAUUAGCAUGGAAUAAUAAAAUAGGACGGCAUGGUUCUAUUUUGUUGGUUUCUAGGAUCACCGUAAUGAUUAAUAGGGAUAGUUGGGGGCAUUAGUAUUCAAUUGUCAGAGGUGAAAUUCUUGGAUUUAUUGAAGACUAACUUCUGCGAAAGCAUUUGCCAAGGAUGUUUUCAUUAAUCAAGAACGAAAGUUAGGGGAUCGAAGACGAUCAGAUACCGUCGUAGUCUUAACCAUAAACUAUGCCGACUAGGGAUCGGACGAUGUUAAUUUUUUAAUGACUCGUUCGGCGCCUUGCG